AUUGAACGCUGGCGGCAGGCCUAACACAUGCAAGUCGAACGAGUGGCGGACGGGUGAGUAAUGUCUGGGAAACUGCCUGAUGGAGGGGGAUAACUACUGGAAACGGUAGCUAAUACCGCAUACCAUCGGAUGUGCCCAGAUGGGAUUAGCUAGUAGGUGGGGUAAAGGCUCACCUAGGCGACGAUGCCUAGCUGGUCUGAGAGGAUGACCAGCCACACUGGAACUGAGACACGGCCCAGACUCCUACGGGAGGCAGCAGUGGGGAAUAUUGGACAAUGGGCGCAAGCCUGAUAGAGCCAUGCCGCGUGUAUGAAGAAGGCCUUCGGGUUGUAAAGUACUUUCAGCGGGGAGGCGUUACCCGAAGAAGAAGCCCCGGCUAACUCCGUGCCAGCAGCCGCGGUAAUUC
rnacentral:rRNA from 1 species